rnacentral:lncRNA from 1 species
UGGAUCUUCUCUAACUGCUACUCUUACAUAGCUUUCCAGUCAAGGAUGGUAAGGACCUCUGCGAGGGGAAGCCAGCAACCAUGUCUGCACUGAGAGCCUGCUCUUGGUGUCCCAGCUUGGGAGAUCUCCCUGAUGGGGGCCCUGGCCCCUUGCCUGGGAUGACUACCUUCAUUCCUCUGAUCAUAGCUGCCUGGCAUGCUCUCCUGCUUUUCAAGAUUAUUUUGCCUGCAAGGCGUCUCUCUAUAUUUACAUCACAUAGCAAUUUGUUCUGUCUUGUCUUGCUUCUCACCUUCUUAGGCACAGGAGGAAAGCAACUUAUUUCCUUGCUUCUUCUGACAAACACAUGCUCUCCAGAGCAGACAGAUGCCUUAAAAUCAGAUAUAGGGCAUCAGUUCAUCUUUUGGGUUCAGCUGUAGCAUAUAAAGCAUUUGCUGGCUCUGGUCUAAUGCUUUUUGACGUUGUCAGACCCUCUUCAGUUAACUUCUGCCUUGAAACCAACUUGACAGCAAGUAUUGUUCCACAUUUAUUAAUACUGUACAUGUCAUCUUCAGACUGACAUGUUUCAAAGCCAGGCAUCAGCUGUGUUCAGCUCUGGCUUGAAAAAAAAUAUGCAGACAACAGCACAGACCUCCUGCUACUAACAAGUAAAUAGAUAAAUAAGCUAGUAGAUCAAAGGGGAUAAUGAAGGAUGGCUGCACACACCAGAACCCAUUCAAUGUCAGCAGCAGGAUGACUGAGAGCAAGAUGGCUGGAAGGGAAAGGGACUGGGGACUGCCACCUCUCUUCUGGCAUUGGCACACAAUGAAAUUGUCUCAGGAUGUCUCAUGGAAGCACUGUCUUAAUGCAAGUACUUGUUAGAAGGAAAAUGGAAAUCAAAGACAGAACUGGAAAACCUCUGUGUCCUGUUUGGUGUUUCUUUGGAAGGUGUGGAUAUAUGGAGACAAGCUUGAGGGAUAGGAUCUCGUAUGUCUGCAGAGGAUUUAAUGGGUGAAAGAAGUGUGUGCAUAUGCAGCAGCUGCAGCACACACUGGAGCAAGUGGAUGUAUAAUCUAUUUGGAGAUAACUGGGUAGUUCUCUCACCAGUGUAUGGGGCUGACUGCAUGCUUAGUAGCUGCAAAGUAUGUUUACAGCAAGCGUGCUAUUUUUGAAGAGUUCUGUACUUAACAAUGCAUGGCAAGAGAGCACAGCACACAGCUGCUCCUGCUAGGCUGCUUCAUGUUCUGCAACUGCAGAGCACGCUUAGUCCUGACAUCUGAAGUUUCCAGACAUGAAGCAACAACUUCAGAAAAGUCUGCUUCCUAUAGCUAUCCAAAUUCCAGAAAGCUCAGAAAAAUUUAUGAACUUUUCAAAAUCUGCCUAAAUGGGAUUUCCAGACAGAAAGAGUAAAUGUGUUUGGGAAAAAGAUGCCUGCAACUUUCAGAAAGUCCUUCUCUACCUGUAGAAACCUGAG